rnacentral:rRNA from 1 species
GAUGAACGCUGGCGGCGUGCUUAACACAUGCAAGUCGAACGGAAAGGCCCUGCUUUUGGGGGGUGCACGAGUGGCGAACGGGUGAGUAAAACGCGAGUAUCCUGCACUUGUCUUUGGGAUAAAUUCAGGAAACUGGGGAUAAUAUCGGAUAGGAGAUCCUGCUGCACGGUGGGCGUUGGAAAGUUUCGGCGGUUGUGGAUGGACUCGAGGCUUAUCAGCUUGUUGGUGGGGUAGUGGCGUACCAAGGCUUUGACGGGUAGCCGGCCUGAGAGGGUGACCGGCCACAAUGGGACUGAGAUACGGCCCAGACUCCUACGGGAGGCAGAAGUGGAGAAUAUUGCACAAUGGGCGGAAGCCUGAUGCAGCAACGCCGCGUGCGGGAUGACGUCCUUCGGGUUGUAAACCGCUGUCGCCUGUGACGAAGCGUGAGUGACGGUAAUGGGUAAAGAAGCACCGGCUAACUACGUG